UACGUAGGGGGCAAGCGUUGUCCGGAUUUAUUGGGCGUAAAGAGCGUGUAGGCGGCCUGGAAGGUCAGCUGUGAAAACUCGAGGCUCAACCUCGAGACGUCGGUUGAAACCACCUGGCUAGAGUCCGGAAGAGGAGUGUGGAAUUCCCGGUGUAGCGGUGGAAUGCGCAGAUAUCGGGAGGAACACCCGUGGCGAAGGCGGCACUCUGGGACGGUACUGACGCUGAGAAGCGAAAGCGUGGGGAGCGAACAGG
rnacentral:rRNA from 1 species